rnacentral:rRNA from 1 species
GACGUAGGGCGCAAGCGUUGUCCGGAUUUAUUGGGCGUAAAGAGCUCGUAGGCGGCCAGGUAGGUCUGCUGUGAAAACUCGAGGCUCAACCUCGAGACGUCGGCGGAAACCAUCUGGCUAGAGUCCGGAAGAGGAGAGUGGAAUUCCUGGUGUAGCGGUGAAAUGCGCAGAUAUCAGGAAGAACACCCGUGGCGAAGGCGGCUCUCUGGGACGGUACUGACGCUGAGACGCGAAAGCGUGGGGAGCGAACAGG